rnacentral:rRNA from 1 species
GAUGAACGCUGGCGGCGUGCCUAAUACAUGCAAGUCGAGCGAACAGACGAGGAGCUUGCUCCUCUGACGUUAGCGGCGGACGGGUGAGUAACACGUGGAUAGCCUACCUAUAAGACUGGGAUAACUUCGGGAAACCGGAGCUAAUACCGGAUAAUAUAUUGAACCGCAUGGUUCAAUAGUGAAAGACGGUUUUGCUGUCACUUAUAGAUGGAUCCGCGCCGCAUUAGCUAGUUGGUAAGGUAACGGCUUACCAAGGCAACGAUGCGUAGCCGACCUGAGAGGGUGAUCGGCCACACUGGAACUGAGACACGGUCCAGACUCCUACGGGAGGCAGCAGUAGGGAAUCUUCCGCAAUGGGCGAAAGCCUGACGGAGCAACGCCGCGUGAGUGAUGAAGGUCUUCGGAUCGUAAAACUCUGUUAUUAGGGAAGAACAAAUGUGUAAGUAACUAUGCGCGUCUUGACGGUACCUAAUCAGAAAGCCACGGCUAACUACGUG